UGUCAUUCGGGUCUCUGCUUCAAUAUCACUUCUUCCAACAGGCUUUCCCUCUCUAUAGAAGCUAACACAGCCCCAUGGGUUACUUUCUUCAGAGAUUUUUCAUGACCUGCUAUUUCCUGGUUUACUUAUUUCUCCCUUCUAGAAGAUGAGGCAGCCAAGAAACAGAGAGGUCUAGUGAGCAGCUGAUUGUUACACAGCUGUAAGGUGGUGAAACUAGAAAAGGAUUGGCAGGGCACAGAGCUGUACCCCAAAGCUGUGGCCUGGGCUCCUCCAUCCAGCUGGACUGUCCCUCAAACACAGGACAGGCAAAA